rnacentral:rRNA from 1 species
CCUACGGGUGGCAGCAGUGAGGAAUAUUGGUCAAUGGGCGAGAGCCUGAACCAGCCAAGUCGCGUGAGGGAGUACUGCCCUAUGGGUUGUAAACCUCUUUUGUCGGGGAGCAAAAGCCGGACGUGUCCGGCUGUGAGAGUAACCGAAGAAAAAGCAUCGGCUUGCUCCGUGCCAGCAGCCGCGGUAAUACGAGGGAUGCGAUCGUUAUCAUGAUUUAGUGGGUGUAAAGGGUGCGCAGGCGGAUUUUUAAGUCAGCGGUCAAAUCGUGGGGCUAAAACCCAUCCAGCCGUUGAAACUGGGGAUCUAGAGUGUGCGAGAGGUAUGCGGAAUGCGUGGUGUAGCGGUGAAAUGCAUAGAUAUCACGCAGAACCCCGAUUGCGAAGGCAGCAUACCGGUGCACAACUGACGCUCAGGCACGAAAGCGUGGGUAUCGAACAGGAUUAGAUACCCGUGUAGUC